UACAGAGACUGCAAGCGUUAUUCGGAUUCACUGGGCGUAAAGGGUGCGCAGGUGGCCGUGUGUGUCAGAUGUGAAAUCCCGGGGCUUAACUCCGGAACUGCGUCUGAAACUACACGGCUAGAGCAUUGGAGAGGGUAGUGGAAUUCACGGUGUAGCAGUGAAAUGCGUAGAUAUCGUAAGGAAGACCAGUGGCGAAGGCGGGUCUCUGGACAGUACCUGACGCUGAGGCACGAAGGCCAGGGGAGCAAACGGG
rnacentral:rRNA from 1 species